UGAUUAACAUCUCAAGAAUUCGUUGUCUUUGAUCACCCCCUUGAGAUUUCUGAGAAAUGGGGGAAAAAGGAAAAAGCUUUUUCUUUGGCAUAUGUUAAGAAGAAUGGCCAAUUACUCAACUUAUGAGAAAGAUGGAAAAUUGGCUACAUUAUCCCAUGGUGUGAAAUGAUGACUAUAGGGUAUUCUAUAUGUUACUGAUGAGUUUAUAAUUUCAGUAUGUGGGGUUUAUUCUUGAAAUUUUGUUUAUUGCGAGUUAAAAAUUUGUUUAAUUUGUUUCUAGAUUAUAUCAAACACAACUGUUUCAAGACCAGACAGAAGACUCUGUUAGUAGAAACCCAGUGGCUUCUGAAGCUGGUGGCUUGAGUGGGAAACCACUAUUUGAUACCUCUACCAGACUCUUAAAGGAUAUGUACCUGUUGACAAGGGUGGCAGGGUUGCUUCAUUUCUUCUGAGGUUGCUGCAUUGGCUUUGAGGGAAUGAAAGAUCUAAAGCUUGAUAGAAACAUAAAGACACACGGCCCUUCUUCAUUAAUGAGUUAAAGUAGAAGACAUUCAUGGACCCUCAUGAUGAAUAUGAUCUGAUGGAACUUGUAUAGUUGUUAUUAGAUUGGAUUGUAAUUUCUAGUUUAGUAAACUUAUGAAAAUGAAUGUGCUCAUAUUUUAGCUAUUAAUUUAUAAUGGUUCGUAAUCAUUUAUGUAAA